rnacentral:rRNA from 1 species
UACGGGGGGGGCAAGCGUUGUUCGGAAUUACUGGGCGUAAAGGGCUCGUAGGUGGCCAACUAAGUCAGACGUGAAAUCCCUCGGCUUAACCGGGGAACUGCGUCUGAUACUGGAUGGCUUGAGUUUGGGAGAGGGAUGCGGAAUUCCAGGUGUAGCGGUGAAAUGCGUAGAUAUCAGGAGGAACACCUGCGGUGUAGACGGCUUUCUGGACCAUUGUUGACGCUGAGACACGAAAACGUGGGUAGCAAACAGG